CAAGUCGAACGCGCAGCAUUCUGUAGCAAUACAGGGUGUGGGCGCGUGGCGAACGGGUGCGUAACACGUGGAUAACCUUCCUUGAGGUGGGGAAUAACCCAGUGAAAAUUGGGCUAAUACCGCAUAACAUCGCGAUGGCACAUGCUGAUGCGAUCAAAGGCGCAAGUCGCCACAAGAGGGAUCCGCGGCCGAUUAGCUUGUUGGCGAGGUAAUGGCUCACCAAGGCAAUGAUCGGUAGCCGGACUGAGAGGUUGGCCGGCCACACUGGAACUGAGACACGGUCCAGACUCCUACGGGAGGCAGCAGUGGGGAAUCUUGCACAAUGGACGAAAGUCUGAUGCAGCAACGCCGCGUGGGGGAUGAAGCUUCUCGGAGUGUAAACCCCUUUCGACCCGGAAGAAUGCCCGCAAGGGUAUGACGGUACGGGUAUAAGAAGCCCCGGCUAACUACGUGCCAGCAGCCGCGGUAAUACGUAGGGGGCCAGCGUUGCUCGGAAUUACUGGGCGUAAAGGGUCCGUAGGCGGUGUAGCAAGUCGAUAGUGAAAUCUCUGGGCUUAACCCAGAGGCUGCUAACGAAACUGCUGUGCUAGAGUGUGAGAGAGGCGAGUGGAAUUACGGGUGUAGCGGUGAAAUGCGUAGAUAUCCGUAGGAACAUCCGAGGCGAAGGCGGCUCGCUGGAUCACAACUGACGCUGAGGGACGAAAGCUAGGGGAGCAAACAGGAUUAGAUACCCUGGUAGUCCUAGCCCUAAACCAUCAGGACUUGGGGUUUGCCCUGUACGGGGCAAGUCCCGUAGCUAACGCGUUAAGUCCUGCGCCUGGGGAGUACGGUCGCAAGGCUGAAACUCAAAGGAAUUG
rnacentral:rRNA from 1 species